rnacentral:lncRNA from 1 species
UCGAGAACUGUCCAUUGCCGCCCUCUUCGAGGAAAUCGGUUAAAAGGGGGGGUCCCCAGAGCUACUCAAAGUUUAACCAAAUGGACUGAGUGCUAGCUGUGUCAGGAUGGAUGAGUUAGAGUGCCCAUACUGCCACAAGCAGUGUGACAAUAGAGGCAACAGGGACAAACAUGUAGACGCAUGCAAGAAGCAGAGGGACACAGGCAAGAGGGCCAAGCAUGGCCAGCAGACGUUGGCGAGCUUCUUCCAGCGCGGGCCUGCAGCGUCACCAGCAGCAGCAGCAGCAGCAUCCCCCAUGCAAUCAAGCAGCGCAGCGCCAGCAGCAUCAGCGUCGCCCAUGCAAGCGAGCAGUGCAGGCAAUGUGCCAGCAUCCCCUCCCACAGCGACCCCUUC